rnacentral:tRNA from 1 species
GGGAUUAUACCUCAGAGGUAGAGGGCCUGCCUACCAUGUAUGAGGCCUGGGGUUCAAUUCCCAAUAAUGCAA